rnacentral:rRNA from 1 species
GCCCUGGGGGUGGAUAGACUGCAGUUGUGCGUCUCUAAGCCAUGGUAGAGACGCGGCAUACGGCUCAGUAACACGUGGCUAACCUACCCUUAGGACGGGGACAACCCCGGGAAACUGGGGCUAAUACCCGAUAGGUGAGGAGGCCUGGAAUGGUUCCUAGUCGAAAAGGUGUUGAAACCAUGCUUUUCGACGUCGCCUAAGGAUGGGGCCGCGCCCGAUCAGGUUGUUGGUGGGGUAACGGCUCACCAAGCCUAUAACCGGUACGGGCCGUGAGAGCGGGAGCCCGGAGAUGGGCACUGAGACAAGGGCCCAGGCCCUACGGGGCGCAGCAGUCGCGAAAACUCCGCAAUGCGCGAAAGCGUGACGGGGCUACCCCGAGUGCCGUCCGCUGAGGAUGGCUUUUCCCCGGUGUAAUGAGCCGGGGGAAUAAGGAGAGGGCAAGUCUGGUGUCAGCCGCCGCGGUAAUACCAGCUCUCCGAGUGGUAGGGAUGAUUAUUGGGCUUAAAGCGUCCGUAGCCGGCUUAGCAAGUCUCCUGUUAAAUUCAGCGACCUAAUCGCUGAGCCGCGGGAGAUACUACUGGGCUAGGAGGCGGGAGAGGCCAACGGUAUUCUCGGGGUAGGGGUGAAAUCCUAUAAUCCCGGGAGGACCACCAGUGGCGAAGGCUGUCGGCUAGAACGCGCUCGACGGUGAGGGACGAAAGCUGGGGGAGCGAACCGGAUUAGAUACCCGGGUAGUCCCAGCUGUAAACGAUGCGGGCUAGGUGUUUGGGGUGGCUACGAGCCACUUCAGUGCCGCAGGGAAGCCGUUAAGCCCGCCGCCUGGGGAGUACGGUCGCAAGGCUGAAACUUAAAGGAAUUGGCGGGGGAGCACCACAAGGCGUGAAGCUUGCGGUUCAAUUGGAGUCAACGCCGGG